GUUGACCAGGAGCCUGCUUGGCUGACAGAGAGGAGAAAGCAGGGAGCAGAGCAGCUCAGCAGAGCUGCCCAGCCCACUUACAGCCUGGAGAAAGUCCUGGUAUACAGCAGAAGUGUGCACUCUGCUUUAUUCUGUGUAGAAGGAGCAAUUCCUAAAACAAUGUAAUUUGUGGGAACUGGAUCUUGUGAAUGGGUUGAGAUCAAGGAAGAGUGGAUUGCCUAAAGGCUGUUUACGACUGCCUGUUCCAGGAUGGAGAUCAGAUGGCCAUUCAUUUAGAAGCAGAAGGAAGACCAGAAAAUAACCUCUGCCUUUUUAUUUUCAACACAGCAUGAAACAGCUCCUAUUUUGGUAAGUCUUGCACACAGACAUCAUAUGGAAGGCCCUCCUGAGAGAUGCCUGUCUCUCUUCAUGUAUAUGACACAGGCAGGGACAGACCAGCCAUUUUUCCACAAGAUCAUUUUGCCAGGCAGGCACUUUACAAAAAAAACCAUUCAAGACUUUGGCUAACAGACUUCAAGGAAGCCAAAAAAGAGCUACAACUUUCAAAGGCAAAACAUCCUGACUGGCUUUAAAAGAAAGUCUGUCAAUAUCAAUUUUAUUAGAAUAUUGCCACAAUCUAUCUUCUUUGGGGAAACUUUCCAAGGACAUAGAGACCUACAUUUUAACACAGUUUGAAAAAUCCUUAAAACAAAAGGGAUGAUUAAUCAAAUCAAGUCUCUCCCUUCCCUCCUGCCAAUGACUUAAAGUUUCAAGACAGAAAACAGGAGGUUUUUUGUUUGUUUUUUUGCAGUGGGACAAAACAGGAGAUACUGGAGGGAUUAGUAGGAUUAUUUAUUGCUAUUUCUUCAUUGAUAGUUUAUCUUAAUUUAACCUUGAUCUGAAUGCUAUAAAUUAUUUUGAUUAGAUGGGCUACUGAAUUUUAAAUGGAAUGCAAUUUUAGUGCACUCCAAACUGACCAAUAUCAAAUCCAAUAAGGGAAAGCAAUUUCUAAAGACCAUAAUAUCCACUCAACCCAUCCAGAGGAGAUUUAGGCCAGAACAAAGCUCUCAGUUUUUGAAUAAAAUGCCAGCAUCCGCUUCUAAUGUUCUUGAUAAAAGAUCUAAUAAGAUAGCUAUUUUUUAUUUCUUUACAGAAAACAGUAUUUGACAUUUUCUGCAUCCUGAUGUUUAAAUCCUAUUGUCUUGUUAUUACAGAGUAUGAGAUCAGUGACAUGAAAUGAGUAUUGAUAUACUUCAAUAUGUAAGCAUAAAUACAGUAAAUUAUAUUUUGAUGUCAUUGCCUUAUCACUUUUUUUUAAAGGCGUGUGGUACUGUGCUGCUGCAUUCCCUUUGGAUUUUUCUUCUAUGUUAUCACAAGAAAAGGAGAUUUUUUGCUUUGAGAGCUGCUUAAUAAUGUAUGCACCCAAUAGUCCACCAAAGCUUCAAAGAGCCAAUUAUGGUUAUGGACUGUUACAUAAAUACAAGUUUAGGAGGCUUGAAGAUGCAUAAUACAUAUGGCCUCUGGUAAAUAAAUAUGGAAUAUGGGAGUUUUGAAAUUGGAGUUACUGACAUGAAGAAAUGUAAUGGCUUCAAAUGAAUGGUUCCAGUAUAUAGAGGCCCGCUGGCUGCUGGUGCUCAUUAAAUAUGAUUACACCGUUUGUGAUUAAGACCAAAAGCCCUCCGUUGUUUCAAAGAGCAAACAAACCUUUUAAUUAGUUUUUGGAAUGUAUGACAAUAUCUAAAAGUGCUAAAAUUUUUAUUUGCAGGUGAUGCAAAAUUAUUCAGAUUAAUAAAGGCUAAAGAGGAUUAUAUGAAACUCCAGAAGGACUUAAAUCCAAGUGAUUGGAUAACACUAUGGCAACUGAACAUGAAUACUAAAAAUGCAAGAUAGUGUAUGCACACUGAAAAGAAAAGUUUGAAUUAUGCUUACAUAUUGAUGGAUUCUACAUUAACCGUAGCCAAUCAGGAAAAAGAUAUAGCAGUAGACAGUUCAGUGAAACCAUCUGUUCAGUGUGCAGCAGUUAAAAGUGAACAAUGAGUUGGGCUGUAUUAAGAAAAGGACAGAAAAUAAUACUGCAACUGUAAUUUAAUUAUAUAAAUCUAGGGUACAUCUUAACCUUGAAGAUUAGGUUUAGUUUUGGCCAUUGUCAUCUUAAAAAGGAUACAGUAGAAAUCAAAAAGGUUAACAGAAAUGGCUAUAGUUGGGUGUUUUUUAAUUUGCUUUGAAAACUGCUUAAUAAUGUAUGUAGCCAGAAUAAGGUAAGAUUUUCAUAUAAGAUGAAAUUUGAAUGGUUCUCUGUUUAAUUGUAAUAGUCAUCCAGGGUCAGGUCAAAGUAUAUAUUUGCUGUAAAAAUUGGUGUUCCAGAGCUGAGGGCUACUUGGUUGCAUACAGUAUUUCUUGACAAAGACCUAUAUCAUCUGCUAUUCAUCUAGUAACUGGAAAUGGUCUUGUUUUUAUUACUUGCUUUGCUUCACAUCAGAGGCAUACUUGGGCUUUUUGUGUGCUGGGCAGCAGUGGUGCACAGAGCAAUGUCAGUGGCUUUGCUGCAGUGCAGCAGCUGCUGUUUUUGCACCCCUUCCUAACUUGACGCCCAGAGCUGGUGCCCCGCUCACCCUCUGUUAGCUAAGCUCCACAUAACAGCUAUAGCCCGGCUUUAGUAGGGGAAUUUGUUUCCUUGAGAUAGGACUUCUGUUAUUAUAACACUGCAGAUACCUAGUUCCAUUUACAGUUCAGGACUAGUAAAGAAACUGCAACAAAAUUUACUCUGGAAGGCAACUGACAUAAUGUAAAUUUCAUAUUUCUUUAUAUCAAAACCCUCCCCACCAACCAAAGCAAGCAAUCAGGCCACAAACCUAUAACAAUACAUAUAGCCAGCUGACAUAACAGCUAACACCCUUAUGCCACAGUGCCCUUAUCUCUCUCUUGAUUUGUUUGUUAUAUCACCUUAUAUUUUCUCAGUUUAGGCUCUGACCCUGUUAACUCUUAUGCACGUCCUUCAUUUUGCUCAGUAAAGUAGGGCUGUUGAUUUUAGUGAGAGACUGCACAUAAGUGAAGUACAUACUUACAAGACUGUGUAAGCCUGUGGAGUCAGAGACUAUUUGACAGUGUUUGUAUAGAAUUUUGUUCAAUAAGAUCCCCUUUGGACUGGGGCUUUGGGUGCUGUUGUAAUAAAUGCUGGCACUCAAACAUGCAUAGAGGUAAACCCACACAUUUGUGUUCUGAUGAAAAAGCCUAUAAUCAAACCAAACUGUGAUUUCGGAUUCCGUUCAAGAUGGCUUUGUGCUGCUGAUCACAUCAUGAUGCACAUAAAUUAACAUAAGCCUGUAUGAUGCAUGCAGGGUAGAGGAAUUUAUUGCUGAACAAGACUGUCUAAUGUUUGUUUAAAUACAUCCCACACAGACCUAUGUAAAGCAGCCAGAUUACUUUCCUAUUUUGUGAGGAAAAUUUAUAAUAAGCGUAUUGCAUCGACUGUGCUGUUUGUAUCACCCAUAUAUGACUGAAUCCUCCUGAAAGUUAAGAUUGUAAAAUUAACUGAUUAUACAUGAAUCCCUAAUAUCAUCUUCUCAAGCAAAAUCCAUACUUUCUCCAAUUUCGUCUUAUUCUGUCAAGCCCAUAACCAUUCAAUAAUCUAACAGAGUAUUAUAUAGCUAGCAUCACCAAAAUGAAGGAUGUUUUCCAUACAGACCACAUAUCUGAAUGACAGCUUUAUUUUCAGAGGACCUGGCAAAAAGUACAAUACAGGAAAAGACUUUCUAAGCAUUUCUAAACAAAAAACUAAAGAGUUAGCUCAAGAGCAAGUUGACCUCAAGAACCAAUAGAGGAAAAGGAUAAGAGAAAGGACACACAAUACUAUAUUUACCCAGUUUAUGAACACACUAGCAGACAUACUCUGGAGUUGGGAAGAAGGGAAAUGCAGAACACAGUUACACAGAAAGUUACCUGAACAUUUUAAAUUCUGGGAUGUCUAUGUUGCAGUUACUGCAGCUCUCACAGGCCUACCUAGCUAGUUUUAAACCAGUGUAGGUGGAGCUGCGUGGGCUGAUUGCCUGUGUAUCCAGCUUUUUGCAUGGGUUUUGCAGCCCUGCUGAACUCCACGCUGCUGUGGCUAUAUUAUUAACAGCACACAAGUUAGCUAGUUUAAAGCCAGGGUACAUAAACAAGAGCAGCAGGCACAGAAAUGACCACAGUGGAGACAUAUUAACCCUUAAUGAUAUAGAUGAAAGAGAAAAACUUAGGCCACUCAAUUUUGACAGUUUCUGUGAAUUCUGAGAGUGGGGAAUUCAUUUGUAGUUGAAACAGGCUUUGCACAUAAAACUGCUUUAUCCCUGCUUUUAAAAGUAGCCUUAUUUAAAUGAAAAACUGAGAACGUGAUUUUAACACUUUAUAUGGAAACAGAGUCAUUUAAAGAGGCAAAUGCCACAUCAUUAUCGCAUCUUGAAAGCUACAGAAAUUUCUUUUUUUUUUAAAUUAAAAAAAACCCCAAAAACAUAUUCUUAGGCAUUAUGGUAUUACUUCUUGGUUUUGUAACACACAGUUGUGAAUAGUGGAGACAAACUACUAGGAUUCCACAUACAUACAUUUAAUCUUAUAUUUAAUGAGGUUUACCAUAUUUCCAGUUCCAAAAAAGAGGACACCUGUUGGUGGGACACCUCACUCCCAACCUGCAGCCCCCCACCCCUGCUGCUGCCCCUCGCUUUUGACCCACAGACCGAGGGUUGCCAUAUUUCCAAGCUUAAAAAGGA